UAUGUCCUUGUCAAAGGUAUCAGCUACACCUUUGCAACACGGACUUAGUUACGCUAGUUAGACGUGUUAGUAGUAACAUAUACAAAGCUGUUACUUGUUAUAUAUGUGGCGCCAAAAACGUUUCCGGCCGUUUCAUUUUGAAAGUUUCAGUUGCGCGCCAACCGCCGUGCAGUGAUGUGGCCUCCUGCGCACUUCCGUGAAAAUGGCUUUCAUCAGGAGCGAAAGCUCCAGCUUGCAAGCAAGGGUCGCUACACUGAAGACAGCAAACUGCAGAAACUCAAGAAUUCUAAAAAUGAAAAAGCACCUGAAUUCCAAGGGGCUAAUGAAUUUGAAUGCCCCUUAGAUUUGAAUGGGUACAGUGUACUCGGUAAGUGAUGACGCUCAUUGCUUUUUCGCAUGCGUUAUUGCCCUUGCCCCUUGGGUCAUGAGUGUUAUCACCAUUGUGUGUGUAAUGUGUAUGUACCAUUUUAAAUACAUGACCUACUUUCA